UUUAUUUGACUGACCUCAAUACUGAUCCUCCAACAAAAGAAAAAAAUAACAGUAACCAUCAAAUCCUUGACAUCAGGAAAAGCAGCAGGCAUAGAUAGGAUUAAGGUCGUAAAAAUUUACAACAGUUCAGGAUCUCAGAUUUCAGCGCUGGGCAUGAUGCCGAGAAGCAUCUUUACAUAUACAUGGACAAGGACGAACUCAGGUAAAACCAUCAUCUGGAAGCCAACACAGCUGAAGGAAGAAUGUACGCAAUGCCAGAUGAUGAUACAGUGAAAUAGUUCAUGAAGUACAAAAGGCAUUUAAAUCCAAAGUGUGAUAGAUUUUUCAAAGGCCACAAAGAACAUUUAAUGUAAAUUCACAUAUUUGGUACUAUAACAUACCUCUGGGACACAAUACUCUAGGAAACAUGAUGUCAAGGAUACCUGAAAAAGCAGGCUUAUCGCAUAGGUACACUAAUCAUUCAACACUGGUACACACCCUGGACUCAACAGGUUUGUUUGCAGGUCGACACAUUAUGUGCAUCACGGGGCACCGAGCAGAGUCCAGUCUUAAAACCUACUCUGUUCAGAUUAAACGAGAUUAAACGCAGGAUGUCGGAUAAAAUAUCAAAAACUCUCCGUGCUGAAACUUGUGUGAAAGAGGUAAAGGAAGGAGACCAAUAACCCGAAAAUUUCAGCACUAAUUUUGAUGUGUCAGAAGUGGAACUGAAGGUGUCAUCAAAUUCUUAGUAUGACCAUGUUUUGACUGAUUUGUUGGAAGAUGACUUUAAUAGUGUUUUGAGUAGUUUGAUUUACUCAUGGAAUCAUAUAAUAAAACAAGUGAAAAGCUGUCAAUGUGACAGCAAACCGGGUUUUCUUUUAUGUGAACUGUAUCCAUAAUCCAUGUCAACCCGAAUCCAGUGAAAUGGAGUCACCUAUAUGCAAUAUUUUGACAAAAAAUGUUCAAAAGCCGGUACUUUUUUCAUAAAUAAUCAGAAAUCAAUAUCCUAGCAAUAUGCACACCUCUGAUAUAUGUACAAUAAAUCUGCAAAAGAACAACUUCCUAUCUUGAAAACUGUAGGAGGAGUUAUCCGUACAAUGUGGGUACCCUAUAUGCAAUAUCUUGCCAAAAAAAUGACUAUUUAAAGUUCAAAAGCUGGUAUUUUUUUCAUAAAUUAUCGGCAAUCAAAAUCCUAGCAAUAUGCACACCUCUGAUAUAUACAUGUACAAUUGAUCUGCAAAAGAACAAUUUCCUAUCUUGAAAACUGUAGGAGGAGUUAUCCGUACUAUAAGGGUACCCUAUAUGCAAUAUUUUGCCAAAAGAUGACUAAGUUCAAAAGCUGGUAUUUUUUUCAUAAAUUGACAGAAAUCAAAAUCUUAGCAAUAUGCACACCUCUGAUAUAUGUACAAUUGAUCUGCAAAAGAACAACUUCCUAUCUUGAAAACUGUAGGAGGAGUCAGUGAUUUUGCAUGGCGGUAACGCCAUGCAGAGAAUUUCCCCCGCCAUGCAUCACACAGUGCCGCCAUGCUUCCCGCUAUGCAUGUUUUUUUCAAAGCAAAAUUCUUUUUCCAAUUAUUACACAUCUUAACUGUAAUUAGUAGAUAUAAAAUUGUCGUUUCUCCGCUCAAACUUCAGAAAACCACUUGCACCCGCAGUGAGGGCAGUUAACUUGGACAUCGAUCUCAGCAAGGGUGCACACGUGGUUUACUGUUAAAGGACUUAGCUUAUGAUUGAAAUAUAUCAAAACUGAUUUUAUAAAUUGGUGAUUAAUGCAUAAAUAGAGACGUGAUUACUUCUUGUUUUAAUAUAAUAUGCAUUUUUUGUCAUCUCCGUCAUUAUCGAAUGUUGUGGAUUUACAUGUUCACUCGAUGGCGUUACAGUGGUCACAACGUUAUUGUUGACAAGCCAAUCGUGUUAAAUCGUUCGUGUAACGUGGGUGAUCGUUCGUGUAACGUGCGGGAUCGUGCGUGUAUCAGGAAAAUUGGUUUGCGUUUUUUACCGUGCGUGUUCGUGCGUGAUCGUGCGGUUUUUUCGUUUCGAAAUUUUUUUUACGGAAUGCCAGUAUUUAUUCUUAAAUCAAAGACAAGUAGUUUUUGUAAAACAAUGUGAAUUUAAAACGUUUUAUUAUAUAAGAACAUUGACAGUUGUUAACAUUCAUUCUCUCUUUCGUCCUUACAUACAUUUUUUUUAUUUCUAUAGCUCAUUCAAUCCUUUGUUCGGUCGAGUUAGUUUUGCUUAAUUUUAUAAUCAGCUUAUAUCAAGCAUCAAUUGUGUCUUGACAAAUACUUUCAAUUAUAUUAGCAAAAGCGACACGUUGAAUGAAAGCGGCCAA